rnacentral:rRNA from 1 species
AGAAAAGCAGGGGAUCGCAAGACCUUGCGCUUUUGGAGCGGCCGAUGUCUGAUUAGCUAGUUGGUGAGGUAAAGGCUUACCAAGGCUUCGAUCAGUAGCUGGUCUGAGAGGACGACCAGCCACACUGGGACUGAGACACGGCCCAGACUCCUACGGGAGGCAGCAGUGGGGAAUUUUGGACAAUGGGGGCAACCCUGAUCCAGCCAUGCCGCGUGAGUGAAGAAGGCCUUCGGGUUGUAAAGCUCUUUCAGCCGGAACGAAAAGGUUACGGUUAAUACCCGUGACUAAUGACGGUACCGGAAGAAGAAGCACCGGCUAACUACGUGCCAGCAGCCGCGGUAAUACGUAGGGUGCGAGCGUUAAUCGGAAUUACUGGGCGUAAAGCGUGCGCAGGCGGUUUUGUAAGUCAGAUGUGAAAUCCCCGGGCUUAACCUGGGAACUGCGUUUGAAACUACAAGGCU